GUGGGGAAUAUUGGGCAAUGGGGGAAACCCUGACCCAGCGACGCCGCGUGAGGGAAGAAGGUUUUCGGAUUGUAAACCUCUGUCCUUGGUGACGAUAAUGACGGUAGCCAAGGAGGAAGCCACGGCUAACUACGUGCCAGCAGCCGCGGUAAUACGUAGGUGGCGAGCGUUGUCCGGAAUUACUGGGUGUAAAGGGAGCGUAGGCGGGAGAGCAAGUCGACUGUGAAAGCUAUGGGCUUAACCCAUAGAUGCGAUCGAAACUGUUCAUCUUGAGUGAAGUAGAGGCAGGCGGAAUUCCUAGUGUAGCGGUGAAAUGCGUAAAUAUUAGGAGGAACACCAGUGGCGAAGGCGGCCUGCUGGGCUUUAACUGACGCUGAGGCUCGAAAGCGUGGGUAGCAAACAGGA
rnacentral:rRNA from 1 species